rnacentral:rRNA from 1 species
AAAAAGCUUCAAACUGGGAUUAGAUACCCCACUAUGCCUAGCCGUAAACACAGAUGAGACACUACCCAUCAUUCGCCAGGGAACAACGAGCCCCAGCUUAAAACCCAAAGGACUUGGCGGUGCUUUAGACCCCCCUAGAGGAGCCUGUUCUAGAAUCGAUACUCCCCGUUCAACCUCACCCCCUCUUGUUUUUCCCGCCUAUAUACCGCCGCCGUCAGCUCACCCUGUGAAGGGAUAAUAGUAAGCAAGAUUGGUUUAACCCAAAACGUCAGGUCAAGGUGUAGCGUACGAGGGGGGAAGAAAUGGGCUACAUUUGCUGAAACAGCAAACACGGACAUUGCACUGAAAUCGAGCAUUCGAAGGAGGAUUUAGCAGUAAGGUGGGAAGUAGAGUGCCCCCCUGAAACUGGCCCUGAAGCGCGCACACACCGCCCCGUCACCCUCUGCAGUCA